UUUCUAGAAAUCAACUGAUAUUUUUCUAAUGAAUAUAGUUUCUUUUCUCUCUCUUUGACUAUACGAAUUCUAGGGUUUUUCUUGGCUAGAUUGGUUGCGAUCUAGAGUUCUAGAGCUCCAACAUGGUAUCAGAGCAGAGAUCUAUCAUCCUCAUAAUGUCCUCUCUCUUUUUGAUACUACCUAUGAAAGCUUUCAGAUAUUUUUUCAGUCACUCAUGGUUGUUUUCUUUCUAUUUUCUCAUUAGAAGGAGUAUAAAUGAAGUCCUUACUUCUUCAGGUAAUGAAGAAGGGUGGUAAUCCAUUCCUAUUGUCUUCAAUUGGGUUUUCUCACUAUUUUCAGUAGAAGUUUUGGUUUUAUUACUUGUGUGCUUCUAGUUUUGUGUAUUUCUCUAUUUUUGACAUCUUUUGUGUGGUUUAGCUGAGUAUUUUUAGCUAAUUGUAGUUAUGAGUUCUAAUAGCACCAUUGUUAGUUAGGGAUUCGAAGAAUUUAUGAUUUUCCUAACUCCCCUAUUUUAUAUACACCCUUCUGACAAUUUGGGGUCUCAUUUAGUAUCUAAGUUUCAUUGGACUAUUUUCCAAUUGGAUGUCAACAGUUCCUUUUUGAAUGGGGAUCUCCGCGAUGAUGUUUAUAUAAAGGUUCCUCCUAGUCUUGAAGUAACUUCUACCUCCUCUUGUGCAACUCCUCUUGUUUGUAAACUCAGGAAGUUUUGUAUGGCCUCAAAUAGGCUUUCGGACAAUGGUUUUCCAAAUUGUUUGAAGCUCUGUUAUCUCGAGGCUACAUUGUCAGAAAAAUUUACUACUCCCUCUUUACUAAGUCAUAUGGUGAUUCUUUGACUGUCUUGGUUGUUUAUAUAGAUGAUAUUCUACUUGUUGGGUCUGUUAUUUCUAAAAUGACCAAUCUAAAAUUUUUUCUUGACACUCUAUUCAAGAAUAAGGAUUUGGGUUUGGUACAUUAUUUUAUGGGGUUGGAGAUCGUUUCUUAUGAUUCGUUAUCUCAUGUAUCAACAUAAGUUUGCUUCUGAUCUCGUGGAAAAAUUUCAUUGUUCCAAUUACAAUUAUGUGGCUUCUCCUUUGGAUCCUUCUGUUAAGUUAACUGUUAACAUGGGUGAUCUUUUGCUUGAUCCUUUUAUUUACAGGCGUUUCAGUGGGAAACUUAAUUUUCUUCAACACACUAAACUAAAUAUUUCCUUUGUUGUGCAAUAUCUGAGUCAAUUCCUUUAGUAUCCUUGUGUCCCGCAUAUGAGCGUUGGUUUAUAUGUCUUGAGGUAUCUACUGAAUGCCCAGAUCUGGGUAUAUUUUUAUCCUUCUCCCCCUCUAUGUCUAUUUUAGCUUAUGCUGAUUCUGAUUGGGCUGCCUUCCAUCAGUCCAGACGAUCUGUUACUGGUUUCUUUAUCACUUUUAGUGACUGUCCUAUCUCUUGAAAGAGAAAGAAACAACCCAUCAUUGCUUUUUCCUCAGCUGAGGCUGAGUAUCGCUCUUUAUGCAAAGUUGUUGUUGAGCCAGGCUGCUUUGUACAUUGCCAAAAAUUUGAUUUUCCAUGGAUGUACGAAGCAUAUUGAGAUCGACUGUCAUUUUGUUCGAGAUUGCCUUCUUGCCAAUGUUAUUUAUUUGCAUCAUGUUUCAUGUGGUGAUCAAAUGGUGGAUAUUCUUACUAAGCCUUUGGCUGGGCCAUUGCAUCACUCCUUUCUUCACAAGCUGGGCAUUUUUACACCCUCCGGCUUAGGGGGGUGUUAGCCCAAGCCCGACAGUCCAAGCCCAAUGACACACACGUACCCGACCCAAUGUAAUUAGUUUUUUAUAUUUCUAUAUAUAUUUCAUAUGUAUAUAAAGACACAGGGAUGUUUUUAGAAAUCAUCUUAGAUAUUUUUCCAAUGAAUAAAGUUUCUUUUCUCUCUUUUCGACUAUAGGAAUUCUAGGUUUUUCUUGGCUAGAUUGGUUGCAAUCUGGAGUUCUAGAGCUCCAACACUUGAUAAGUUCAAGUUCUCUGUCUUUAUUUUUUUUUUAAAUUUGAUGACAAGUGGAUUGAUCAUUCAAUUUGAUCACUUAGAUGACAGUUUUGUUUAGAAAAGAAAAACCCUUUUGUUAAACACCUCCUUUCUUUGAAGCUUUACAAGGUUGGCAAUAUAUAAGGGAAAGCAAUCUUUCCUAUAACUAUCACCUAAGACACUUGAGGCUUC